UCUUCGCCCUGGGACCCUCCUUGCUUUUUGAGGCUCUAAGGACAGUGCCGAGAGCUGGGGAGGGAAGGAAGUAGCAAGGGUGAAGUGGGGGUGGCAGAGAGGCGGACACUGGCCACUUGCGGGAGACUGGAUGUCCGGGAGACGUGAGUGGCCCCCUGGGUGGUGUGUGCAGUGGGGUCCCAGCCCCCCCUCUGUUGUUGACCAACGGCCCCCACGGGCCCCUCCAUCCAACCCUUGCCUCCUAGGUUCUCCUAGUUCCGUCCCCGCUGUCUUCUCACAGCUGUGCGCGUAGUCCCCACACUCCUCUAAGGACUGCUGGUACCCUAUGCAGCUAUCGCGUCAAAGCGGGCACCGUGCUCUACAGUUGGCACCCCCUGUGGCCUCCGGAGCUCGGAGAAGGAGGAGCUGCCGUAGAAAUAGGAGAAGCAGCUCGCCAAGCUUGGGGUCAGAAAGGGAACUCACAUUUAUAGUUCCGGCCGCGAGCCAGGCGCUGUUAGACACUCCAUAGGCAUUGUUUUAUUUAAUCCUCACAGCAAGCCCAAAUUGGAAUUACUGUCUUCUUUAAGGAUGAGGUCACGGGAGCAGGGAGGUAAAGUCGGUGCUUUAGCCAGUCCAUGGCCGGGUCGGGAUUCACACAAAGUCUGUAGAAUUCUCAGUCCUACCACGGGUUGAGUACCGGUUCUGCCCCUUGGGAGUCUAACGUGGGCCACCGACCUUUUCGAGCCUCGGUCCCCUUGCCUGUAUAAUUAGAAAAUACCGCUACAUGAGCAUGGUGACGAUUAAAUCAGCAGAUGUGAGAAACGCUGUGCAAACUGUAAAGUGCUUUUCAAAUAUCCUUGAGUCCCGUUUUUGUCCCAGGCGUUGGGUGUUGAGUGCUACUCAAAGGAGUAAGGCCCAACCCGUUGUCUAGACUUGGCUUUGCCAGGAGGCAAAGGAAUAGUCAAGAAUUACAAGUUGCUGCGGAGAGCAUUUGCCCCCCACCCCUUCCCCCCGAACCCUGCCUGGGAAGAUUGGAGUUUUCCCACAAGGAUGGGCUGUCGUUGGGUGGUUGUCGGGGAUUUGCAGAGCAGGGGCUGUAGGUGAGAUAUCACUGGAGGGCUGGUGGGACCAUAUACCCUGUGGAUAAUAUCCUAAAGGCUGGGGCAGCCUUUGGAGGAUGGUGAAUAUGGCUGAUCUUAUUUGCCUGGAAAGAUCCCAGCGGUGGCAACAGGGAGGAGACGGAGAGCCGUGAGCGGGAACAGUCAGUGGCUGUGGCAACACAGUAGUGGUAGGGGUAGAGAAACGGGGAUAGACUUGGGAGGAUACGAGGAAAACUAGGCUCCAAAGUCUAUGAUCUUAACCACAAAUUACCCUACUUAGCCCCCUCCUUCAAAAAAGGCAGGAGAAAGUGCUUUUUUAAAAAAUCACUGUAAGUCAGGAGAGUCAUACGCCCAGAAGACAGCCCGUCGGCUUCUCCUUAGAUGCCGCCAGUGAUGCUGGGCCACGUUCUGUGACCGAGCUCUGAGGGCACCGAAAUGCUGACCUCUCUGCUGCUGUUCAUGUUUUUUGAGCCAUUUACCUGGCAAGUCCUCUGAAUGUGUGACAGCACACACAGAGUAUAAUCUGUACUGAAUCUCCUUUGACGCAAUGUCUGCUAAGACCACAGCCGUAUUUCAUGGAGUAUUUGAAGAAAAAAAGAGACUGCAGAAAGCCUCGGGAGGCGCCCGGGCCCGGCACCCAGGGAUAGCCAGCUCUCCCCUAGAGGGCGCUCCAACUCUCCCCUUCGGGUGACUGGCCGUUCAUCAGAAACUGGCUGUCAGUCCGGGAGCACAACCUACUGUGUAAUUCAGGGGCCAGGACCUUCACUUAGAACUUCCUCCAGAGACCCAGAAGUCGCCAAUAACCUACAUUUCCGAAGAAUUGUGCCCGGGACUCCUAGCCCAAGCUCCUCAUACCGUAUGUAAUCACGCAAAAGGCCACCGUAAAAUGUUCCAGUAAGUUAGUGUUCCAAAAGUUUUAGCCAGAUGACCGUACCAUUUGUACCAGCUUCCCUUUUCCUCAGAUAAGAAGUCAAGCAAAAUUCAUACCCUGAAUUAUUAGCCUGGCAAUUGUUUCUGCUGGCCCUUGGCAAGAAGGCAUUCAAUAACGCUUUCUUUUGCCAAUAUUCAGUACGUUACAGGUAUAAAAAAGAUAUCCUCUUGCAUGAACAGAUGUUUUUAAAGUCAUGUGAUUUAAAAAGAAAAUUUUUUUGUUCCAUCAAGUAAGUCUAAAGGUGUUAGGGGGUUACUAUUUAAAGAAGCCAUAAGGUGCUCUAUUCUGGAAAACAACAACAGAAUCCCACGUGGGGAUAUCUGUUUGGAUCAGUCAGCUCUCAGACCCAGUCCUCGCCCUUCCCUGCCUGCUCUGUACAGGGGAGGGAGCAACUGAUGAGGUUGGUUUUCCAGGUUCCUGGGGUUGCCGACUGGGCGCGGCCCGCAGAGAUUGGAGUGUAACAGCAAGGGAGAAACCAGGGUUAUCACCUUCUCUCUCUGCCUCCAGUGGCUUCUUCAGAGUGGCCUGGUCUCCUUCGUGCACUGGCUGACUGGGUUUCUCUCAGCUUUCACUGGAUGCCCCAUGGCUUCUGGUAACUUCGCCACCGCCUGUUGCCUCUCAGUCAAGGGUGCUGGUGGUUUCCUGUGGUUGCAGAUCUCUGGGUUCCUUCACUGUUCCCGGUUGGGCUCUCGACUCCUCCCCCUUUCUGUAAUCCGUUCCCUGCAUUAUAAACCCUGUGUUAUAAAUACUUGCACUCUCGAGAUACUUGCACUCUCUACCAAGGUUCUGAUUUUCUCAUUCUUUUGCAGAGGCCUACUGCAUGCAGCAUCGUUGGUGUGGUACGUAAUUCGGUAUGACUGUAUCCAUUGUCAAGGAGCAGUGUGGGAUAGUGACAAGAGCUGAGGCUUCCACACCAGGGAAAUCUGGGUCCAGAUGCUGCCUAAGGCAUUAGCACUCUCUGUGCCCUUGGGCUCUACAGAUGCAUCAUCAAGGUCAAGGGAGUUGCCACUUGUAACUUAGAACAACAUAGCAUUGUCGUCUGUUUAAAUCCCUCUUCAGGGAUGAUACCCUCUCAUCUAUUCAUUCUGCAAGAUUCUAGAAUCUUAGACAACAUUCUAUCAAGUAGAACCUUCUGCAUUUCAUUUUGGCCUUAUUCACUGAAAAUUAUGGAGUCCAAAGCUUUCGUUUAUACUGCUUCUAUAUAUACCUCCAGGGCAAGAAAAUGGAUGAGAAGAAUGGUUAUCUUACAGCUUUUUCAAACAGAAACUCAUUACAAUCUCAGUUAAUGAAGCAUGGAGAAAUCAAACUCAAAGCAUCAGCAUUUGCUACCUCCUAGAUGCCUGGAACUUUUCAAAGUGAAUUACAGAGCAGAUUCACACCCUUUAAAGAAUUUGUAAAUUCAGAAACGGCUGGGAGCAGGUGAGUAUUUCUGCAAAAUUUGAGAGGUGUGGAUCUAUGACCGAGGAAACAAGGACUGUGGCAUCCCCAGAAGCUUUCCUUUUGAAUCAGGAGCUGCUUUGACCAGGACUUGCGUGGUAUAGUGUUCGCCGAAGCACGGAUGGCCAAGGACCUCUAUCCUAUUAUUUACCUUUAUUACUUCCUGGUGUUGGCACUUCCGCAGAAAAUGUUGACGCGUGACAUCAAAGGCAAAGAGGAGAUCCGCAAUCCCUAGUUCCUUCCCUGCUCCUCCUAAGCUGAGGGAAGCGAGCGUGGGGAAAACGUGCAAAUAUCAAGGAGCAAAAUCAAAACAGCCAAGUUCAUUUGGGGCUGCUUACGUGAUUCAAAGCGCGGUGAACAUCCGCGGCGAGGUCUUGCCGAAUUACUUCUAUGAGAAGGCACGAUGCAGUAGCUGGGAGCUGGGGUUCUGGUGCUAGACCCCAGCGUGGCCAACUUGUAUCCUUGGGCUCGGCCGGCUUCAGGACACAGCACAGGAGCGGAAUGCUGAACCAGGGCUUAUGGCAUAUGAAUUGCAACAUUUCCAUAUUUUUCCUGCACAAACAGCUGGGACCAGAUUGUAUACACAUUUCAGGAUCAACAAGAGUGUUUGUAGACUAUUGAAAGGUGGAUUUAUAUAUAAGACUUCUUUCCCAUUGAAGACAUCAGAUUGGAGUCUUCUGAUGAAGACAUCAGAUUUGAACUGAUAGCGCAGAGCCUGACAUGGGGCUCGAACUAACGGACCGCAAGAUCAUGACCUGAGCCGAAGUCAGAUGCCCAACCUACUGAGCCACUCAGGUGCCCCGACCUCCCUACCUUUUAAAGAUGAAAGAGAGGUAUAAUUACCCCUAAACCUUUCUACAAGCCCCCUCAUCCCUAUGCAAUUUACUUUUCAUGUCUUGCUGUAUCCCACUUAUUUAUUUUUUAUUUAUUUAUUUGUUUAUUUAUUUUGAGGGACAGAG